AUUGAACGCUGGCGGCAGGCCUAACACAUGCAAGUCGAACGAGUGGCGGACGGGUGAGUAAUGCUUGGGAAUCUAGCUUAUGGAGGGGGAUAACUACGGGAAACUGUAGCCAAUACCGCGUACCAUAGGAUGAGCCCAAGUGGGCGUAGGUAGUUGGGGAGGUAAAGGCACACCAAGCCGACGAUCUCUAGCUGGUCUGAGAGGAUGACCGGCCACACGGGGACUGAGACACGGCCCAGACGCUGACGGGAGGCAGCAGGGGGGAAUAUGGGGCAAUGGGGGCAACCUGACGCAGCCAUGCCGCGUGAGUGAAGAAGGCCUUCGGGUUGUAAAGUUCUUUCGGUAGCGAGGCGUUAGCUACAGAAGAAGCACCGGCUAACUCCGUGCCAGCAGCCGCGGUAAUAC
rnacentral:rRNA from 1 species